AUAGCUGAUCUCGGACAUUCAUUUUAAUCACUUUGAUUAAGUCGUAGUCCGAGAAACAGCUGGAUUGCCGCGAUCUUAGCACCAAAAUGGCCUGAAUGUAUUCAUCCGUGCUUUCUCCAUGCCGUUGCUUACGUUCUCUCAGUUCUGUUCUCUCAAAUUCAGAUCGCCUUAUUUGGAACUGCUGCUGUCUCCAUCGAAGAUCAGGCCCCACCUUCGGAUGUGACUACUGUCCUGCCUCGUAUCCCCGAUGCUCGUGCGGUUUCUUUGAUAGUGUCCACUAUCAUUACUCGUUUUUUGCAUCUAGCACGAUACGGGAACUUGUUGUUGUUCGGCUUGUUUCUGUUGUUCUGAUUCCAACGCUCGAUUAUCCAUGAAAAAGUGAGUAGGUGCAGGUGAUCGAUUAAUUCUCGCCUCUCUCGCUUCUUGUGAACUUGAAUCGCUUCUUCCUUUGUCCACUUUCAGGGAUGAGACCACUUCGUUGAUUUCCCGCAUGAAACUUAAUAUGCUGGCCUCCAUUGUCUCUUUAAAAGCGCUCAUUUCCUGGGACAGCGAUGCCCUGUAGGUCUCAUGCGCUUGGGCUACCGCUACAUUAAUAGCCGACUUCAGCUCACUGGGUAGCUCCACUUCACUCCUGGUUUGUUGCGUUGAUGACGAGGUACUCGCUACAUCUUCUCGGCUGCGCAUUCCGACUGGAUGAGAAGUACUCUCCAUUUCUUCGGUGGGUUUGGUAUUUUGUGCACGGGUAGCUGGACGCAUUUUCUCUUGCUCUCUAUCUCUCUGCAAGUUCCCGCUACGCCGCACUUUCCUCGAUUGCCUGAAUACCCCAUCGCUCAUCUCCCCUACAAUUGUUGCUCUCUAUUCUGAAAUAUUAAUUAAUUCUAUUGGCUGCGCCCGUUCACAAAGUCGGACAACGUUGACAAUCACUAAACAGUAAUGCACGGAUCGCGACUCGAAAACUCGACGUACUUUGUAAACCCCAUUUCCACCUUCUGAUCCACUUCAGCGGCAACGUGGCUCGGCCUUUUCUCCGGCUCACGGACCAUCUAAGCUUCACUUUCACUACUAAUGACAAUUGAAAGAUGUUCUUUGACCAAAUCG